rnacentral:rRNA from 1 species
GCGGAGGAAAAGAAACCAACAGGGAUUGCCUUAGUAGCGGCGAGUGAAGCGGCAAAAGCUCAAAUUUGAAAUCUGGCUCUUUCAGAGUCCGAGUUGUAAUUUGAAGAAGGUAUCUUUGGGUCUGGCUCUUGUCUAUGUUUCUUGGAACAGAACGUCACAGAGGGUGAGAAUCCCGUGCGAUGAGAUGAUCCAGGCCUAUGUAAAGUUCCUUCGAAGAGUCGAGUUGUUUGGGAAUGCAGCUCUAAGUGGGUGGUAAAUUCCAUCUAAAGCUAAAUAUUGGCGAGAGACCGAUAGCGAACAAGUACAGUGAUGGAAAGAUGAAAAGAACUUUGAAAAGAGAGUGAAAAAGUACGUGAAAUUGUUGAAAGGGAAGGGCUUGAGAUCAGACUUGGUAUUUUGUAUGUUACUUCUUCGGGGGUGGCCUCUACAGUUUAUCGGGCCAGCAUCAGUUUGGGCGGUAGGAGAAUUGCGUUGGAAUGUGGCACGGCCUCGGUUGUGUGUUAUAGCCUUCGUCGAUACUGCCAGCCUAGACUGAGGACUGCGGUUUAUACCUAGGAUGU